rnacentral:rRNA from 1 species
GACGAACCGUGCGAACGUUGUUCGGAAUCACUGGGUUUAAAGGGCGCGUAGGCGGGCUGUCAAGUCGGUGGUGAAAUCUUUCGGCUCAACCGGAAAAUCGCCUUCGAUACUGGCGGCCUUGAGGGAGGUAGGGGCAUGCGGAACUUCCGGUGGAGCGGUGAAAUGCGUAGAUAUCGGGAGGAACACCUGUGGCGAAAGCGGCUCACUGGACCGCAACUGACGCUGAGGCGCGAAAGCUAGGGGAGCAAACAGG